UAGAAGGAGUACUAAAUUAUCACCUCCACCAUUUUUCCCUCUAGUUGACCAAACUAUGGCUGCUGCUCAAUACCUCCUCUGCUUUGCUCUACUUGUAGCCUUGUACACUUUCACCAGACACUGCCGUAACAAGAUCAGAAACCUCCCACCAAGCCCUUUCCCGGCCCUACCCAUACUCGGCCACCUCUACCUCUUCAGAAAGCCCCUCCAACGGGCCUUAUCCGACAUCUCGGCCCAUUUCGGCCCGGUGCUCCUCCUCUACUUCGGCUCCCGUCCAGUCCUUCUGAUCUCUUCUCCGUCCGCUGCGGAAGAAUGCUUCGGCAGAAACGACGUUGUAUUCGCCAGCCGCCCGCGUCUCCUCGCCGGGAAAGUCGUAGGCGACGGCUACACCACCAUGGCGUGGGCCCCGUACGGCGAGAACUGGCGGAAGCUCCGCCGCAUCUGCUCCGUCGAGAUCCUCUCGUCCCACAGCCUCCAACUGCUCGGAGGCUUACGCGCCGACGAGGUCAGGUUGUUGCUCCGCCGGCUGUGGCGGAUUGGCGGAGAUCAGGCGGUGGAUAUGAAGGCUUUUCUCUUCGAGAUGGUUCUGAAUGUGAUGAUGAGGAUGAUAGCCGGAAAAAGAUAUGACGGCGAGGAUGCGGUGAAGGUGGAGGAGCUAUUCCGAAGUGAAGGGGCAAAUAUGGGGGAUUUCUUGCCCAUUUUGAGGUGGGUUGGAGUGGGAGGCUUUGAGAAGAAGUUGAUGGCAUUGAAGGAGAAAAGAGAUGUGUUUGUGCAGGAAUUGAUAGAAGACAAUCGGAGAAGAAUGUGGGGUGGUAGUGGUGGUGGUGAGGUGGAAGGAAAGAAGACGAUGGUUGAGAUGUUGUUGACACUGCAAGAAUCGGAGCCUGAGUAUUACACAGAUCAGAUGAUCAGAGGCAUCAUGAAGGUUCUGUUUGUGACCGGAACAGAUACUUCACGGGCGACUAUGGAAUGGGCACUUUCACUUCUAUUGAAUAAUCCCCAAGUUUUAGAGAAGGCUCGAACUGAAAUUGACAUACAAGUUGGUAACGGCCGUCUAAUCGAUGAAUCAGAUAUCACAGACCUCCCUUAUCUCCGCUGCAUCAUCAACGAGACACUGCGGAUGUACCCAGCAGCUCCAUUACUGGCGCCUCGUGAGUCCUCGGAGGACUGCACAGUGGGAGGCUUUUCCAUCCCACGUGGCACUAUGCUACUGGUGAACAUGUGGGCCAUACAGAAUGACCCCAAGAUAUGGGUGGAGCCGGGGAAGUUCAUGCCAGAGAGAUUUGAAGGCGUCGAGGGGUCAAGACAUGGGUUUAUGUUUGUGCCUUUUGGGUCAGGAAGGAGGGCUUGUCCCGGUGAGGGUUUAGCACUUCGUAUGGCUGGGCUGACAUUGGGGUCACUGAUCCAGUGCUUUGAUUGGGAAAGAACGGGUAAGGAGAUGGUUGACAUGACUGAAGGCAUUAGACUCACCUUCCACAAGGCUCAACCCUUGAUGGCUAAGUGUAGGCCUCGUCCAACAAUGGUCAACCUUCUUUCACAAAUUUGAAACCCAUUUUGGUUCUCAAGCCUACGUGAAGAUCGGAAGUGGUUCUACUUCGAAGAAUCGGAAUUGAUACUUCUGUUGCGGCUAUGGAGUUGGCACUGUCACUUCUAUUGAACAAUCUCCAAGUUUUACACAAGGCUAGCUCAAAAUUGACUUACAAGUGGGUUGAUGUCGUCUGAUUGAUGAAUCAGACUUAUCUGAUCUCCCUAUUUCUGCAGUAUCAUCAGCAAGACAAUGCGUAUGUACCCACCAGGCCCAUUACUAUUUCCCCAUGAGUACUCAGAGGAGUGCAGAAGGAGGCUUCCACACCCUGCGAUGCACUAUGCUACUGGUGAAUGUUUGGGCCAUACACAAUGACCGCAAGAAUUGGACAGAGCCGAGGAAGUUCAUGCCAGAGAGAUUUGAAGGAGUAGUUAAGACUCAAGAGAUGGUUGUCCUGGGGAGGUUUUAGCACUUCGUACAGUUGGGUUGGCAUUGCGGUCACUGAUCCAGUGCUUUGAUUGGGAAAAUGUGGGUGAGGAGAUGGUUGACAUGUCUGAGGGCACUCAAAUCAAUUUGUCCAAGGCUCAACCCUUGAUGGCUAAGUGUAGGCCUCAACCGACAGUGGUCAACCUUAUUUCGCAAAUCCGACACCCAUUUCGGUAGAUAAUAGUGCCACUCGAGGCUACAAGAAUCUCGGAAGUGUUUCUCCUUUGCUGGAUCUGUCGAGUUCCUCAUGCCUCUGUUGAUUAUGCCUAGAUGGCUAGAAGUCUAGAACUUGGCUUGUUCCGCUCCGCACAAUUACGUCCUUUGUCAAGAACUUUUGUAAGUGUUUAGAGACUGCAUUUGUUUCUAGUCUUCAGUUUCUCAGCUUUUGUAAGUUUUUUAGAGAUUGCCUUUGUUUCUAGUCUUCAGUUUCUCAGCUUUUGCCUUUGUUUCUAGUCUGAGAAACUUUCUAGUCUUCAGUUUCUCAGCUUUUGUAAGUUUUUUAGAGACUGCCUUUGUUUCUAGUCUUCAGUUUCUCAGCUUUUGUAAGUUGUGUCCGGAAUUUUUUGUUCACACCGCCGUUCUGUAAAUCCGAGUGGCUUACACAUCAUGCCCAAAAUUUGCUGUUCAAAAUUUGACCUUGACUACAUAAUUUUAUACUAUCUGUCACUUUUUUGCCUUUGGGUUUAGACUUUAUCAAAUGUAUUCCAUUACUAAAAUCAUGCAAUUGUCUCCCCACGCCUUCACGUGAUGAAUUUUUUUUUCUGUUCAUCAUUCACAUCUGGUCACUGCUUAUAAACAAAUAUAAGAGCCCAAGACUUGCUGGCUUAUAAAUAUUUUAUGCGUCCUGUUUACUUUUACCUCUUCGUCAUCUUCAUCAAUCCAUGGAAGCCACUUUGUUCAUAUACUUUUCUCUGUUUCUCUCCUUCUGU